rnacentral:rRNA from 1 species
UACGUAGGGCGCGAGCGUUGUCCGGAAUUAUUGGGCGUAAAGAGCUCGUAGGCGGCCUGUCGCGUCGGUUGUGAAAGCCCGGGGCUCAACCCCGGGUCUGCAGUCGAUACGGGCAGGCUAGAGUUCGGUAGGGGAGAUCGGAAUUCCUGGUGUAGCGGUGAAAUGCGCAGAUAUCAGGAGGAACACCGGUGGCGACGGCGGAUCUCUGGGCCGAUACUGACGCUGAGGAGCGAAAGCGUGGGGAGCGAACAGG